rnacentral:rRNA from 1 species
UACAGAGGUCCCGAGCGUUGUCCGGAUUCAUUGGGCGUAAAGAGCUCGUAGGCGGCUUGAUAAGUCGGAUGUGAAACCUCCAGGCUCAACCUGGAGUCGCCAUCCGAUACUGUCAUGGCUAGAGUCCGGUAGGGGCCCACGGAAUUCCUGGUGUAGCGGUGAAAUGCGCAGAUAUCAGGAGGAACACCGGUGGCGAAGGCGGUGGGCUGGGCCGGCACUGACGCUGAGGAGCGAAAGCGUGGGGAGCGAACAGG